AACGAACGCUGGCGGCAGGCUUAACACAUGCAGGUCGAGCGCCCCGCAAGGGGAGCGGCAGACGGGUGAGUAACGCGUGGGAAUCUACCCAUCUCUACGGAAUAACGCAUGGAAACGUGUGCUAAUACCGUAUACGUCCUUCGGGAGAAAGAUUUAUCGGAGAUGGAUGAGCCCGCGUUGGAUUAGCUAGUUGGUGGGGUAAAGGCCUACCAAGGCGACGAUCCAUAGCUGGUCGGAGAGGAUGAUCAGCCACACUGGGACUGAGACACGGCCCAGACUCCUACGGGAGGCAGCAGUGGGGAAUAUUGGACAAUGGGCGCAAGCCUGGUCCAGCCAUGCCGCGUGAGUGAUGAAGGCCCUAGGGUUGUAAAGCUCUUUCACCGGUGAAGAUAAUGACGGUAACCGGAGAAGAAGCCCCGGCUAACUUCGUGCCAGCCGCCGCCGUAAUAC
rnacentral:rRNA from 1 species